rnacentral:tRNA from 1 species
GCCGGAGUGGCGGAAUGGCAGACGCGCGGGUUUCAAAAACCCGUUCUCGCAAGGGAGUGUGGGUUCGAGUCCCACCUUCGGCA